rnacentral:tRNA from 3 species
GCCCGGAUGGCGGAACAGGCAGACGCAGGGGGCUUAAACCCCCCGGAUGGCAACAUCUUGCGGGUUCAAGUCCCGCUCCGGGCACCA